rnacentral:lncRNA from 1 species
UACAUUUUUACUUCAUAGUCACUUUUGCUUUCUUUCUAUUGGAGGUACACAGCGUUCAUUUUAGGUGAAUCAGGAGCCAAUAAAUCUGUGGCAGAAUUAACCUAUGCAUGGCAAAAACACAUAAAAUACAUUCUUCUGUUUUGUAAUAAAUAAACCUGUAGCAUAAUAAAGAAUAGUGCAAACUACCAUUGAAAAAGUUGUAUAAAUAAAACAACUCAUUAUACAUCAGGAAUAUUUUGUCCUAAUAAGUUUACGAUACAUAAAUUAUCCCCCCCUCAUUCAUACCAUAACUUUUGUAUUGGAAAGGGACUUUGAAAGUGAAUAAUAUGAAAAUCAAAUAAACUUUAAAACUGUAGAAUUAUUUUAUAUUCAAGUUUUAUGGUCUUUUCUUUAUAAAGGAGGGUCUGCAUGUUUCAUAUUUACUGUAACAAUCUGAAGACAACAUUGAGGGCUUCCAAAUGACAGCACCAUGCACUGUACUAGUAAUAUAUCUAUAAACUAUAUAUAAUCUCAUCAACACAAUGCAAAAAAGACAUGCAGGAAGAGUCUUGGUUUUCACAUUUCACUUUUCAUUCAAGUAAGCUUAAAAAUAUAUUUUUCCAUUUUCUUUCCCCUAUUUUUUAAAACAAACCAUGGACCAUAAAUGACAAUCUUUCACCAAAAUGUGUAAUAUAAUUCUUUGGUGUGUUUUGAACUCUUCCAGGGGUGGGGUUGGGGAGGAUGAUGUCUGAAAAUAAAUUAAUUCAACUGUACAAAUAAAAGUGUUCACAUACAAGUUAUUAACAAUGACAAGACUACAUCAACCACUCAGCACACAAAACAUUUCUACAAACCCUGGGGAGGGGGUGUCUUCAGGGUCUCUGAGGAUAAAUUAGUGCUCUUUAGUAUAUUUGUAUGAUGUUUCUGAUGGACUACAUUUUGCACAGGAGAUGUGUUGUACUAUCUGAAAAUAAAUUGACUAAGAGUUAUUGUCCUAGGUCCUUGACCUUUUUUAUCCUAGCUUGACAGCUCUGGCAAAGGUCACACAUUCAUCAGUGUUUGGUGGUAACUAUAAACCUUUUAAAAAUUUUAAUAUGUAUAGCAACUCCUUCCCCUCUUUUAAUGUAAAUCAUAUACUUCACACUGUCAUUUUCAAACGGAAGAGAGUUUGGUGUGCUCAGUGCUCAGGUGGAAGAAAAUGCACUAAAAUGAAGUUUCAGGCAUUAAAAUAUACUUUUUUUAAAAAAAGGUUGACACAAUAGUAUAAAAGAAGAGUUGGCCUGUUUUAAAAACAGCUUUCCGAAAGAAAUAAAAAUUUGAAAAACAGGCAAUGCCAUCAUCACAUCUCCACAGACCUGACUGUGAAUGUUGGCAUCCCAAAGAACUUAUGAUCAAAAACAUAAUCUGUAUUACACAAGAAGUCUGGACACAGUAAGAAGGCAGCAUCUGAGAUUUCAGAUUAAAG